UCCGGAGCUAUCACCUUACAAAAUGAGAAAGGCCAGGAAUUUACGGGGAAUGGCCAACGAGUUAAGCAUUAUUGGGCAAAACCACCAGCGAAAGUGCCCAUGGUGCUGUAUGAACCUGAUAAUUAGUUUAAUUAGGAAGUCGAGCUAAACACUUAAAAAUUAAGCGCUGAAUGGGAGGCAACCCAUUUAUUUUCUAAAAAAAAAAAAAAAAAUUUCAUUAAUUAAAAUUAAGAAAUUAUAUUUACUAGAAAUUAAUGGUAAUUUUUGUAUUUCUUAAUAUUAGCAUUAUUUAGAAAAUUUAGUAAUUAGAAUCUGUCAAUAAAAAGGACAUCGAUCGACGCGGCAUUACUGCCAUCGAUCGAUGCGGGUAUAUCGACGGUUUUAACAUUAACUUCAAUCGAUAUCAACCCACUUCCUCUUCCAAAAUCACAAACACAACCGAAAACGAAAACACCCAUUUUCUCUCUCGAUUCUCGACGGAUUUCGUCCGUUCUUCGCCUAAAUCCACUCGAUUUUUCACUCUGUAACUGUUAAAUCCAC
rnacentral:lncRNA from 1 species